rnacentral:tRNA from 1 species
GGCUUUGUACCUCACCUAGUAGAGCGCUGGCUGCAUUGAGGCAUGCUGUGUCUGUCGCUGGUUCGAAUCCAGCCGAAGCCC